UACGUAGGGGGCGAGCGUUGUCCGGAUUCAUUGGGCGUAAAGAGCUCGUAGGCGGCUUGGCAAGUCGGGUGUGAAACCUCCAGGCUCAACCUGGAGCUGCCACUCGAUACUGCCAUGGCUAGAGUCCGGUAGGGGACCACGGAAUUCCUGGUGUAGCGGUGAAAUGCGCAGAUAUCAGGAGGAACACCGGUGGCGAAGGCGGUGGUCUGGGCCGGUACUGACGCUGAUGAGCGAAAGCGUGGGGAGCGAACAGG
rnacentral:rRNA from 1 species